GACAGAGGCCACAAGCGUUAGGCGGAAUCACUGGGCUUAAAGCGUGCGCAGGCGGUUUGCUAAGACAGGUGUGAAAUCCCCGGGCUUAACCUGGGAACUGCGCUUGUAACUGGCAAGCUUGAGUGUGGCAGAGGGGGGUGGAAUUCCACGUGUAGCAGUGAAAUGCGUAGAUAUGCGGAGGAACACCGAUGGCGAAGGCAAUCCCCUGGACCUGUACUGACGCUCAUGCACGAAAGCGUGGGGAGCAAACAGG
rnacentral:rRNA from 1 species